CGGGUGAGUAACGCGUGGGUAACCUGCCCUGUACAGGGGGAGUAACAGUCAGAAAUGACUGCUAAUACCGCAUAAGACCACAGCACCGCAUGGUGCAGGGGUAAAAACUCCGGUGGUACAGGAUGGACCCGCGUCUGAUUAGCUGGUUGGUGAGGUAACGGCUCACCAAGGCGACGAUCAGUAGCCGGCUUGAGAGGGUGAUCGGCCACAUUGGGACUGAGACACGGCCCAGACUCCUACGGGAGGCAGCAUG
rnacentral:rRNA from 1 species